GCGGCCUUUCUGGCCUCCGGUGUGGCAUUAGUGUUGUUCUCUGCUACGGACUCCGGCUUGGCUGGGGCUUCGGCCACGUGGCCUCCCGCACCCGGGUUCCUGGGCCGAGAAAUGCGAGCUCCCUGAGCCCGGGGGAUGCCCGCGGAAGGCAGCAGCCUGACUGGCCGCGUUCGUUCUUCGCCGGACCUCGGGAGGGGCCGAUCUGCGUUCCCUUCCUGGGAAAUGGAGAGAUUUAGUGAUUGCGAUUGCCGGUAGUCUUAAACGUGGAAGAUGCAUGCUUGAAGCCAACUGCUGCUAGCUUAUCACCACCUGGGAGCACAAAGGUGACUUAAGGAUGUCUGGUGAGGACUUGGGAAAUUUAAUCUUCAAAUUGCUUUGACCAUUUAAAAUUUCCAGGAGUCUAAGGAGUGCUGAAAUAAUUGCCUGUUAUAAUCCAGGAAUAUAAUUUUAAGAUUAAAUAUUUUGAUGUGCUUCCUUGAA